ACUGGGUGUGGUGGCAUGCACCUAUAAUCCCAGCUACUCAGAAGGCUGAGGUGGGAGGAUCACUUGAGUCCAGGAGGCCUGGCCAGCAGUGCACUAUUGUCAUUCACGUGCUCACACUAGCUUCAGCAUCAGUGACCUCUAGGAGUAGGGGACCACAGGUUGCCUAAGGUGGGGUGAACCAGCCCAGGUUCGAAACAGAACAAGUUAAAACUUUCGUGCUGAUCAGUAGUGGGAUUGCGGCCAUAAAUAGCCACUGCACUGUCACCUGGAAAACAUAGUGAGACCCUGUCUCU
rnacentral:SRP_RNA from 1 species